rnacentral:rRNA from 1 species
AAUUCGAUUAGUUUGAUCAUGGCUCAGAAUCAACGCUGGCGGCGUGCCUCAGACAUGCAAGUCGAACGAUUAAACUUUCCUUCGGGAAAGAUAUAAAGUGGCGCACGGGUGAGUAACACGUAGGUAAUGUACCUUUGGGUGGGGAAUAACAGUCGGAAACGACUGCUAAUACCGCAUAAUGCAGCGGCUCCUUAUGGAGACAGUUGUUAAAGAUUUAUCGCCUAAAGAGCAGCCUGCGGCAGAUUAGCUAGUUGGUAAGGUAAUGGCUUACCAAGGCUACGAUCUGUAGCCGACCUGAGAGGGUGGUCGGUCACACUGACACUGAAUAACGGGUCAGACUCCUACGGGAGGCAGCAGUCGGGAAUUUUGGGCAAUGGGCGAAAGCCUGACCCAGCAACGCCGCGUGAAGGAUGAAGUCUUUCGGGAUGUAAACUUCGUAAAAAUAGGAAGAAUAAAUGACGGUACUAUUUGUAAGGUCCGGCUAACUACGUGCCGGCAGCCGCGGUAAUACGUAGGGACCAAGCGUUGUUCGGAUUUACUGGGCGUAAAGGGCGCGUAGGCGGCGUGGCAAGUCACUUGUGAAAUCUCCGGGCUUAACUCGGAACGGUCAAGUGAAACUGUCGUGCUAGAGUACAGAAAGGGUAAUCGGAAUUCUUGGUGUAGCGGUGAAAUGCGUAGAUAUCAAGAGGAACACCAGAGGCGAAGGCGGAUUACUAGGCUGAUACUGACGCUGAGGCGCGAAAGCUAGGGUAGCAAACGGGAUUAGAUACCCCGGUAGUCCUAGCCCUAAACGAUGAAUACUUGGUGUCUGGAGUUUUAAUUCUCUGGGUGCCGUCGCUAACGUUUUAGUAUUCCGCCUGGGGAG